rnacentral:tRNA from 2 species
GGCGAAGGUGGCGGAAUCGGUAGACGCACUAGCUUCAGGUGUUAGUGUCCUUACGGACGUGAGGGUUCGAGUCCCUCUCUUCGCCACCA